rfam:Oryza sativa Japonica Group DNA, chromosome 5, cultivar: Nipponbare, complete sequence.
AAUAAGUGCAGUUUUACACUAUUCACGUUCAACGUUGGACCGUUCGUCUUAUUUAAAAAAAUUUUAUGAUUAGUAUUUUUAUUGCUAUUAGAUGAUAAAACAUGAAUAGUACUUUAUGCGUGACUAAAUAUUUUUAAAUUUUUCAUAAAUUUUUCAAAUAAGACGGAAGGUCAAACGUUAAGCACGGAUAUCCACGGCUACACUUAUU